GUGUGCACGUGUGUGCCUUUUUCCUCUCCUUUUAUGAUUAGGGCUUUCAUGACAAAUAUAACCUGCUUCCUCUAGUAGUCAGGAGAAUUUCCUUUCUGCCUAGGAUGAAACAGUGGCAGCCAGGUCACCCCCCAAGCCCAGUUAUAGCAGCAAUAUGAAGUAUCCAGAGUUGUUCUGAGACCCUCUAGUUAGUGUUGCAGUUACUAUUAGCAACAAUCAUACCAUGUGCGAUUUUUGAGUUCUCAAAUACUCUAAACUAUAUACAUUUUUUUGCUCAUUCUCAUGCCAAUCCUAUAAAAUAGGUAUUAUUAUCCCCAUUUUAGAAACAAGGAAACUGAUGCUCAGAGAGGUUACGUGGCUUACCUAAGAUCACUCAGCCAGAGAGUGAGUGGCAAAGUCAAAACUGCACUCACGUCUGACUGACAACAAAGCCCCUGUUCCCCCCACCAGGCAGUGGGCCUCUCAUUUAUUCAGGUGCCUGUGACUUGCCAGACCCCGAGCCUGAGAUUCUGGCGUUCCCUCACUGCUACCACCUCCAUAGAAAAUAAUAUUUAGUACCACAGAGCCCAUGGCCGGUAAAUUCAGGAGGAAGGGAUUAAAGAUGGAAAUGACAAACUUACAGCAAAAGACUGUCCAUGAGCUGCACUUUCCUCCCCUGCAAAACCAGACGCCUUGGCUGAGGGACAUUCCUCAAGGCUCAGAGGUUCUAAGACUUCUGGGUUUCUUCCAAGAGCCAUGGAGGAUACGGGUGAAAAGGGUAUUCUCUCUGCUCCAAGAGCCCAGGACCCGCGGGGAGACACGGGAGGGCUCACCCAGGGCAGAUGCCCUUUGCCUCAGAGAAACUCUCCCCCAGAGGGACUUGUGAGGAGAUUGUGGGUGACCCCACCACCUCCCGCAGCCCUUCGCCUCCUCUGUCUCCAGGAAUAGAACAGAACAAAGUAAUAGAACAGAGGAGGACGUCAUACGUUGUAAGCUGAGACUGUCCCACAAACACUGCUUUUAAGUUUAUAAGUGUAUUUAUGUGUGUGACACUGUGCUGGCAUGUCAAAUGUGCACCUCCCUGCAGUCACACUCUAAGGGGUAUGGAAGACCCUGCCCUAGACUAAACUCGGGGCCUGUGGGGCCCAGCAGGGGGGGUGGCAUCUGGGUCUUGACAGCUGAGCGCAGGCAGAUACUUACCUGGAGGCAGUGAUCCUGGAUGACCCUGAAACACUGCAGUCAUCCUGUGGCCAGGUGUGUGGGAGCCCCUCCGUGCCAGCCCUGUGCCCGGCUGGAGCCCCUCCCAUCCCCGUCCUAUAGGGCCUGAGGAUAGAGGGGAAAGCAGCCCCAGCACCAGUUGUCAUUUCACCCCAGAGGCCACUUACCCUGCGGAGGGGCUGGAACUCGUCCUCAGGUCUUUCAGUUCCCGAGUUGCCUCCCACCCCCACUCAGGUCUGCUUCGGGUGUUCUAUGGUUGAUGAGGUCACAGGGCCCACUCCCAACCUCCCAGCUGGCGCUCUGGGCUCCCUGGCACCCAGUAUCGUUUAGGGCACUGAGGCCAUGGCCCCAGGAGAUUAUCCCUUCAGUUCACGCAGGGGGUGGUCAGGGGAAAGGCUGCACCACUCCUCCCUGAGAGCUUUCCAGCAAGACUGCCAUUCCUUCAUCCUCACUGUCUGCUCCUGGUCUAAGGGGACCCAGAUUGGGUGACUGCCCUCAAGAAGUGUCUUGGGGGGUUACCACAGAUGUUCCCAGUCACACUGGCACUGUGCCGAGCCAGGAACUCCUCUGUCCUCCACCCCAUACCAUUUCUCCAUAUAUUAGCAAUCUUCUGCUGUGUAACAAAUUCCCCAAAACUUAGUAGCUUAAAACAACAAACAUUUUUAUCUCAGUUUCUGAGGGGCAGCUCAGCUGGGUUGCUCUGGCUCAGGGUAGGUCAUGAGAGUCUAGUACAGCUGUUGGGUAGAGCUGUGGUCAUCUGAAGCCUUGAGGACUAAAGGGCUACAAAUAAGUUCAGCAUGGCUGUUGGCAGGAGGUCUUCAUCUACAGGGAUGCUGAGUAUCUUCAUAACAUAGCAGUUGGCUUCCCCAGAGUGAAUGAUCCAAGAGAAAGAAAGGAAGAGGACCCAGUGCCUUUUGGGACCUAAUGCAAUUUAAAAAUGGGCAAAAGGUUAGAAGAGUCAUUUCCUUAAAGAAGGUACAUGAAUGGCCAAUAAACAUAUGAAAUGAUGCUUAUCACUAGUCCUUAGGGAGAAAGGAAUCAAAACCCGGAGAAACCACUUCACACCUACUGGAAUGGCUAUAAUCAAAAAGACAGACAAUGACAAGUGUUGGCAAGGAUGUGGAGAAGCUGGAACCUUUGUCCACUGCUGCAGGGAAUGCAAAAUGGUGCAGUCACUGUGGACUGGUUUGGCAGAUUUCUCAUAAUGUUAAGCACAGCAUGACUAUAUGACCCAGCAAUUUCAUUCCAAGGUCUAUACCCAAGAGAAGUGAAAAUAUAUGUUCACACAGAAACCUGGAUGAAAAUAUUUAUAGCAGUGCUAUUCACAAUAGCCAAAAGGUAGAAAUAAUCUAUAUGCUUCCAUAAAAUAAAAUACUAUUUGGGGAGUUCCCUUCAUAGUUCAGCGGUUAAUGAACCUGACCAGGAUCCAUGAGGAUGUGGGUUCCAUCCCUGGCCUCGAUCAGUGGGUUAAGGAUCCGACAUUGUGGAUCCUACACUGUGGUGUAGGUCUCAGACGUGGAUCUGAUCCUGCAUUGAUGUGGUUGUGGCGUAGGCCGGCAGCUGUAGGUCCGAUUGGACUCCUAGUCUGGGAACUUCCAUAUGCCUUGGGUGAGGCCCUAAAAACUAUGAAAAAAAGAAUUAUUUGGUCAAAAAAAGGAAUGAAACAUUGAUACAUGUUACAGCAUAUAGGAACCUUGAAAGCAUGCUACAUCAAAAGAGCCAGUCAAAAGACCACAUAUUAUACUAUUCCAUUUUUAAGAAAUGUCGAGAAUAGGCAAACCUAUAGAAGCAGAAAGUAGAAUAGCAGUGGCCUAGGGCUGGGGUGGAAAUGGCAGUGACUGUAAAUGGGCAUAACGUCUCUUUUGGGGGUGAUGAAAAUGUUCUACGAUUAAAUUUUGGUAAAAUUUGCAAAACUCUGUAAGUAUACUUAAAGUCAUCGAAUUUUACACUUAGAUGAAUUUUAUGGCAUAUAAAUACUAUCUCAAUAAAGCUAUUUUUGAAGGAAUGAAUGUAUUGCUACAACAGUAAUGAUGAAUCUCAAGAAUGAAAGAACUGCUGAAUGAAAGAAGCCAGACAAGAAAGUGUACAUGUUGUAUGAUUCCAUUUAUAUAAAGCCCUAGAAAAUGCAAACUGCUCUAUAGUGACAGAAAGCAGGUCAUUGGUUUGCUGUAUGGGAGUGGUGGAGGGAUGGGUUGGGACAAAGAAAGUGAUUACCAGAGGGCAGUAGAAAAUUUGGGGGUGGGUAGUUUUAUUAUCUUCUUUGUGCUGAUGGUUUCACAGAUGCAUACAUAUGUCAAAAGUUAUCAAAUGGUGCAUUUGAAAUAUGUGCAGCUUAUUGUAUGCCACUUAUACCUCAGUAAGGCUUUUCUAAUAAAUGAUUUCAUGAUAAUGCUAUCUAUGAUUUGGCACUGAAACAAAAAGUUAUUAUGUACAGACAAGCAAGGAAACAGAGCAGUGGGACAUAACAUUUUAUACUAAUGAAAUACAUAUUCAUGAGAGGAAGAGUGACCACAAUUUCAUAUUUACUUAAAAGUAAGAACAAGACACCUAAGUAAAUGAUGCUAUAAUGUACUUCAUCACUGAGACUGUGUGCUAAAGGGUCACAUUUAUUAUGCUAAGAAAUGCAAGUUGAAAGGUAGGGCAUGUGGCCUAAUCUCUGAAAUGGAGAAAAGAAAUUUCAGGAGUUCCUGUCGUGGUGCAGAGGAAAUGAAUCUGACUAAGAACCAUGAGGUUGCAGGUUCGAUCCCUGACCUUGCUCAGUGGGUUAAGGAUCUGGCAUUGAUGUGAGCUGUGGUGUGGGUUGCAGACGCAGCUCAGAUCCCUGACUUGCUCUGGCUAUGGUGUAGGCCGGCACCUAUAGCUCCGAUUUGACCCCUAGCCUGGGAAUCUCCAUAUGGGGUGGGUGCGGCCCUAAAAAAGGCAAAAAAAAAAAAAA
rnacentral:lncRNA from 1 species